rnacentral:rRNA from 1 species
AUGGGAACGCGAAGAACCUUACCUACUCUUGACAUCCAGAGAACUUAGCAGAGAUGCUUUGGUGCCUUCGGGAACUCUGAGACAGGUGCUGCAUGGCUGUCGUCAGCUCGUGUUGUGAAAUGUUGGGUUAAGUCCCGCAACGAGCGCAACCCUUAUCCUUUGUUGCCAGCGGUUCGGCCGGGAACUCAAAGGAGACUGCCAGUGAUAAACUGGAGGAAGGUGGGGAUGACGUCAAGUCAUCAUGGCCCUUACGAGUAGGGCUACACACGUGCUACAAUGGCGCAUACAAAGAGAAGCGACCUCGCGAGAGCAAGCGGACCUCAUAAAGUGCGUCGUAGUCCGGAUUGGAGUCUGCAACUCGACUCCAUGAAGUCGGAAUCGCUAGUAAUCGUAG